rnacentral:tRNA from 1 species
ACGUUCUUAGUCGAAUGGUUUAAGAUAUUAGUUUCCAAAACUAAGGAUGGAGGUUCGAAUCCUUCAGAACGUG